GCCAACGUAGCUCAGUGGUAGAGCAGGGCGUUCGUAACGCCCAGGUCGACAGUUCAAUCCUGUCCGUUGGCUCCA
rnacentral:tRNA from 1 species